GGGGAAUUUUGGACAAUGGGCGCAAGCCUGAUCCAGCAAUGCCGCGUGCAGGACGAAGGCCUUCGGGUUGUAAACUGCUUUUGUACGGAGCGAAACGGCUUUCUCUAAUACAGGGGGCUAAUGACGGUACCGUAAGAAUAAGCACCGGCUAACUACGUGCCAGCAGCCGCGGUAAUACGUAGGGUGCGAGCGUUAAUCGGAAUUACUGGGCGUAAAGCGUGCGCAGGCGGUUUUGUAAGACAGAUGUGAAAUCCCCGGGCUCAACCUGGGACCUGCAUUUGUGACUGCAAAGCUGGAGUGCGGCAGAGGGGGAUGGAAUUCCGCGUGUAGCAGUGAAAUGCGUAGAUAUGCGGAGGAACACCGAUGGCGAAGGCAAUCCCCUGGGCCUGCACUGACGCUCAUGCACGAAAGCGUGGGGAGCAAAC
rnacentral:rRNA from 1 species